rnacentral:rRNA from 1 species
UAGGGAAUCUUCCGCAAUGGGCGAAAGCCUGACGGAGCAACGCCGCGUGAGUGAUGAAGGUCUUCGGAUCGUAAAACUCUGUUAUUAGGGAAGAACAAAUGUGUAAGUAACUAUGCACGUCUUGACGGUACCUAAUCAGAAAGCCACGGCUAACUACGUGCCAGCAGCCGCGGUAAUACGUAGGUGGCAAGCGUUAUCCGGAAUUAUUGGGCGUAAAGCGCGCGUAGGCGGUUUUUUAAGUCUGAUGUGAAAGCCCACGGCUCAACCGUGGAGGGUCAUUCGAAACUGGAAAACUUGAGUGCAGAAGAGGAAAGUGGAAUUCCGUGUGUAGCGGUGAAAUGCGCAGAGAUAUGGAGGAACACCAGUGGCGAAGGCGACUUUCUGGUCUGUAACUGACGCUGAUGUGCGAAAGCGUGGGGAUCAAACAGG